CCCUGAAGGCAAGGAGGAAUUCCUGAAGGAUUUUCAGCAGGGAGUGAUAUGAUCACUUUUACUUUUCAUUAAGAUGUCUCCGCCAAUAAUGUGAAGAACGGGGGGCGGGAGGAUCUGUUGGGAGGCUGGGACAGUGGCCAGGCAAAAGAUGAGGUCUUGAAAUAAGGAAGUGGCUGUGGGGAUGCAGAGGAGAGAGAGAUUACAGAGACGUCAGUGGAUCGCAGUGACCGAUCUGUUUUGGGGAUGAGGGGCAAAGAAGUCUGGCUUCUGGUUUAGUGACUAAGUGUAUGUUGAUGCUGCUCCCCAGGUGGGGAGUAUAAGGAAAUCAGGGAGAGGAUGCUUGUUCAGCUGUGGCCAGGUGCAUUUCGAGGUGCCCAUGAUGGGAGCUCUUGUCAUGCUCUAUGGCUGGACCCUCCCACGGUUCACUGCACUGGACCCGAUUCUGCCACCACGCCACGAGACAGCCCUACGAUUGCCAGGGACACCCAUAAGAUUGCAGUGGCCGUCUGUCUCACGGUGUGGAAUCCAUUUUGUUUCUUUCACUUGCUCUGGGCACUGGCAGAGCAUCAGCUGAGGCUCUAAAGCCUGGUUCUGGCUUGUUUCCCCUGGGAAUCACCCUCCUGCACUUCAUUCUGCCUCCCAAGUCACUCCCACCAUGCUCCACAGUAACUGGUUCCACCAGUUUUUCUGAGCAUUCUUCUCCCUCCGCCACUCCAGCUGAAAGCUGUCUUGAUCAAAUCACCUACCCUCCAGGCACACAUGGUCUUCCCCUUCCUUGUGCAAGGCACCCCAUCCCAGCCGGGAAGCCACCAUCCCGCUAUCUGAAAUCGUGCUCCCAGCUGGUUUAUCUUUGUGGACCUAUUUGGGGUCAGUUCUGCCUGGGGCUGGCGAGUGUGGAUUAAACAUCUCAGUGGAUCUGCUCUGUUCUGAGGUCUGCCCUGACAGAAGGCACGCUCUGGUCUUUGAACAGGAAUUUAAGGAGGCUUCAUUUUGAUGUGAAUUGGAGUUCAAACUUGGCUCGAUUGUAGACUGAGCUCUGAGAAUGAAACGGCGUCGCCACACAAAGGCCGUCACAGAGAACCCAGACAAACACAAGAGAUUGCUACCAAAACACAAAAAGACCCCUCUCUGCCACUGCUGCACCGAUGAGCUCCUUGAAGAUACGGACCACAUCUUGGUCAUCCUCUGUAUCCAUAGCAGCUGGCGGAAUAACUGGCAGAAAUGCACAAACUCAAUAAACGUCCUGUGGUUGGUGGUUCUGCGAGGUCACAGGCUGGUCCAGUCGCGUGAGGCAGCGCCGAGCAGAGCGGGAGCCGGGGCCCUUUCUUCCCCACCCAUCUGCCAGCGGGAUUGGGGCCUUUCUCUCCAGGUCUCUCUCCAUGGCCGCAGGGUGGUGGGAACGCAUGAAUGUGAUGACCAUCUAUUAUCUCCCGGCCAGCGCGUCAGCACUUAUUAAGCCAUAAAAUUAAAUCUCUUUUUCAUGUAGGAUUACUCACCAAAAACAUUUGUUUUAUUCUAGUAGGUUUUUAUAUGGCCUCGAAUUAGUGAAGGUUUUCUUUUGCUUUGUUUUUGUUUUUUAUGGCUUGAGCCUCACAAAACAAGAGAAUAGGAGAAAGGUCAAGAGGCUGCUUGUGAAAGAGAGCAAGAAGGCAGCAGGCUGUGCUCAAGGAGACUCCCAUGGAAGUCAGAGAAGGUGCAGCCUCUGUUGGUAGACAGAGUCAUCAGUAGGGCUGGGAAAAUGGACUCACGAGUAGAGAUUGUCUUGACAUCGACAAGAAAGCAUUGGACCUAAGAGCAGAGGAGGUAACAUCCCCAAGGGCCUUGGAACUUCUGUCCCCGCCCUGAGCUGAAAUGAGCUGAGGUUUCUCCAGCGCCUGGCUGAGAUGGGCAGACAACAGAAGAGCCGGCGCCACGGGAGGACCUCACUUAAAGCUUCGAAUGAAGAGGAGCCAGCUCUUUGAAGUCUGAGAUACCAGACUUCACUUUCCAGUGAUGUGGGUAAUUGUUUAAUUUCUCUGAGACUAAAUUUCCUUGUCUUUAAAAUGAGAAGAACAACCACAUCACCGAGCUGUAGGACAGUGACGUGAAGUGGCACAGGACAAGUCUGCGCUAAAAUAGGAUGUGAAUUCCCUGGCCUUUCCUCCUCUCCCCAGUGUUGAGUCAUAUUGAUUCAACUUCCCCAGCAAAUGUAUUUAGUGCAGCACUAACUACUAAGUUCUGCUAGAAAAUAAAGCCUCUGCUUGCAUUGCAGCUGUCAGGAUAAUCUGCUUGAUAAUCUAGAAGUGUUUGGAUGCACGUUUCACCCUCUGGACCGUCCUGGGAUGUCCGACUCUUUUCUCACCUGCGUUUCCUUCAGUGGUUCAGAUAUUCUCUCAAUAUUUGUGUUUGCAGAGAUCUAUCCCUGGGCCUGAAUUUCCCCCGAAGUUCUGGUGGCAUGGAUCCAAACAGCCUGCAAGCCUGUCCCCUUGGAGGGCUUGCCCUUACCUCACCAAAUGCUCUGUGUUUGUUUAUUCGCUCAACAAAUAUGCAUGGAAUGCCACCAGGUGCCAAAUCUUUUCCCAGGACCCACGGUUUUCAGCUAAAUUAGACACAGUUCAACCCUCAAGGAGCCCCCCGUUCAGGGGGAGAGAUGGAUUAUGCAAUGAUGCUGUGGCACGGGAUGUGCUAGAUUCCAGGGGCCUGGGAGGUGGAAUAGUCCAGGCUGUGCUCUCAAAGAGAGGAAAAGCAACCCAGGGACGAUGAAAAAUGCCACGUCCAAGCUGCAGAGGGCCUGGCCGUGUCAGAGGGCCGCCUGGCCUGGGGGUCCACCGCGCUGCAGGCAGAAAGUGAAGCAAUCGCAGCCUGGGAGGCCGACGGCAGGGGAGGGAACAUUCCACCAGGGCAAAGCUGGCGAGGGCUUUGGGCCCAUCCAAGAUCCAGCUCUCAUGAAAUGCAGGAAGUGUGAUGAAGAACCCCGGGCGCCUCGAGGCCUCCCACCCUGGCUUGGGAAAGGGAAGAAAGCGAGUUAGGGGAAGGUUUCGUGGGCUACAUUCCCCUGGCUUCUCAGUGAGCACACGGUGGUGUCUGCAUUUCUGCUUAAGUCAACAUUGUCACAAGACUCAGCGGCUGGGACAGUGUCCUGUGCUCAGAUAUGCUUGCCAGGCAAUGCUGGGGACCAGGACUCUGCGCCCUAGCAGCACUGCACAAACCAAUUACUGAGGAGAAUUUGUGAAAGAAUGAAUGGACUAGACACAUAAGUAAACAGAUAUGAUACCGUGGCGGUGCUCUAAAACCAAUUCCUGUUUCCAUUCGCCUUGGAAAUCACCGUUCUCACGGUUUCUCGACAACAUGAGGUAGUGAAGAAAACACCGCCUUGGGGUCACACGUGCCGGGUUAGAUCCCAGUUCUGACCUGCAGUCGCUGGGUGACUUUGGCCUCAAUGUCCUGAUCUGUAAACUGGCGGGGGUGGGGCGAGGGGG
ensembl:lncRNA